rnacentral:rRNA from 1 species
UACGUAGGGGCUAGCGUUAUCCGGAAUUACUGGGCGUAAAGGGUGCGUAGGUGGUUUCUUAAGUCAGAGGUGAAAGGCUACGGCUCAACCGUAGUAAGCCUUUGAAACUGGGAAACUUGAGUGCAGGAGAGGAGAGUGGAAUUCCUAGUGUAGCGGUGAAAUGCGUAGAUAUUAGGAGGAACACCAGUUGCGAAGGCGGCUCUCUGGACUGUAACUGACACUGAGGCGCGAAAGCGUGGGGAGCAAACAGGAUUAGAUACCCCUGUAGUCCCUGAG